UGAAAUUGAGUGUGUUUUUGGGGUAAUUAUAAAUUAUUUGUAAUAGCAUUUGAGUGCCUGUUAAACAAUAUUUACACAAUGCACACCCCCUCCCCUACUCCCAUUACCCCAAGAAAUGUAGGAUUAGCAAAUCCUCCCUCUGGCUUUGCAUGACAUGAAGAUUAUUUUUCAGUUGAUCUAAUGACUAAUGGGAGGGGUUAUCUGUUCAUGUAAGGAAAGCACAAGACUGUCGAGCCGUGGCGGUAAAAGCCUUGCUUUUUCCUGUGAGGACCUGGUUUGAAACAACAUGGCACCCCAGGCAACAAUAAGGAGGAGUGGAGCAGAACAUUAGGCUAUGAAAGCAAGCCAUGUUUGAGCUCUGUCUUUCUCGCUGGAGGGAUGCUGCGACAUGGUUGUGGGGUUCAUUGGCUGUAAUCAUUUCCCCUGCAUGCCUCCCUCCACAACACAAAGCGAUCUCUCCAUCGGACUCGUGUUCCUCACGAACUCAACGCCCGUAUUGAGGAGCUCCAGUGAGAUGCCCUGGGGACCAGACCUGUCAUUCCUCCUUCCCAAUCAUCUCCAGAGGUGUCAAAAUUAUUCACAUUCAUUACUCAAAUAGAAGUAUAGAUAGGCUACUAGGUUUUAAAAAGACUUCUGUAGAAGUUGAAGUAUCUGGUUUCAAAACUACUUAAAGUAUAGGCUAAAAGUAAUGUAAGGAAAAAAUGCCUAUAGUCAGUGCACUACCACCUAAAAUUUUUUGUAAAGGCCAUAAUGUUAUUAAAAUGUUAAUGUUGAAAAGUUUGGGAUGCAUUUAGGCUUCUUGUUUCAGAUACAUAUGGCAAUU